rnacentral:tRNA from 1 species
GUUGAUGUAGCUGAAAUGGUUGAGUGCUUGUUUUGCAUGCUAGAGGUAUGGGGUUCAAUACCCCGCAUCUCCG